rnacentral:lncRNA from 1 species
CCUGCUCGUCACCAUUAAAAGGUACGUGACCUGACUUCUUAUAAGAUCAGACAUAUAGCUAAGAACCGAGCUCAUGGUUAAAGACUAGUUCAGCUCGGAAAAAGCUUAUGAACAAGAAUAUCUUAGUAAAAUAGAUAGAUGGAUAAGUCAAAAGUUCAGACAAUUGAUAGAGUUUUGGUCCUGAUGGGCUUAAGGGUAAAAAGGAAAAACAAUAUAG